rnacentral:rRNA from 1 species
UGGGGAAUAUUGCACAAUGGGCGCAAGCCUGAUGCAGCCAUGCCGCGUGUAUGAAGAAGGCCUUCGGGUUGUAAAGUACUUUCAGUCGGGAGGAAGGUGUCAAGGUUAAUAACCUUGGCAAUUGACGUUACCGACAGAAGAAGCACCGGCUAACUCCGGGCCAGCAGCCGCGGUAAUACGGAGGGUGCAAGCGUUAAUCGGAAUUACUGGGCGUAAAGCGCACGCAGGCGGUUGAUUGAGUCAGAUGUGAAAUCCCCGGGCUUAACCCGGGAAUUGCAUCUGAUACUGGUCAGCUAGAGUCUUGUAGAGGGGGGUAGAAUUCCAUGUGUAGCGGUGAAAUGCGUAGAGAUGUGGAGGAAUACCGGUGGCGAAGGCGGCCCCCUGGACAAAGACUGACGCUCAGGUGCGAAAGCGUGGGGAGCAAACAGG